CGGCAACAGCUCAAAUUUGAAAUCUGGCUCCUUCGGGGUCCGAGUUGUAAUUUGCAGAGGGUGUUUCGGGCGCGGCGCCGGUCCAAGUCCCCUGGAACGGGGCGUCGCAGAGGGUGAGAAUCCCGUCCGCGGCCGGCGACCAAGCCCAUGUGAAAGCCCUUCGACGAGUCGAGUUGUUUGGGAAUGCAGCUCCAAAUGGGUGGUAAAUUCCAUCUAAAGCUAAAUACCGGCCAGAGACCGAUAGCGCACAAGUAGAGUGAUCGAAAGAUGAAAAGCACUUUGGAAAGAGAGUCAAAAAGUACGUGAAAUUGUUGAAAGGGAAGCGCUUGCGACCAGACCUGACCGGGGGCGAUCAGCGGCCGUUCUCGGCCGUGCACUCGUCCCCGACCAGGCCAGCAUCGGUUCGGGCGGUCGGAUAAAGGCCGCGGGAAUGUAGCUCCCCCCGGGGAGUCUUAUAGCCCGCGGUGCCAUGCGGCCAGCCCGGACCGAGGACCGCGCUUCGGCUAGGAUGCUGGCGUAAUGGUCGUCAGCGACCCGUCUUG
rnacentral:rRNA from 1 species